UUUAAUUUUCCCACCAAUACUUAAGCCAAAUUUGUAACACUUCAAUAUUUCCUCCAAACCUAAACCUAUAUCGCGCCGUCCACCAUCUCUCUCAGCCUCAUCUCCCUCUUCCCCUUCCUAGAUCGACGCAUGAUGCCCUUGCUUCUUCAGCCAACCACACCGCAUCUCCUCCAUCUCCUCCUUUGGGUAAGAAGAGGCUGCCUGUGUGGAUUGGAGUCAUCGCCGAGCCGCUAGAAGUGGCCCUCCUCCACUCUUACUCGAUCCCAUAUCUGGAUUCGGUGCUGCCUCCGGGUGUGUUAUCGACUAAUCGGUCGACAUGGUAAGGGGGAAGACGCAGAUGAGGAGGAUAGAGAAACUGGCCAGCCAGCAGGUGACCUUUUCCGAGCACCGGAGAGGCCUUCUGAAGAAGGCCUUUGAGCUCUCCGUGCUAGAUUAAAAAUGGGUGUUGUGUCCUGGGAACCCUAAAGAUGCUCCCGCUAUGGGUUUAGGAAAUGCAUGAUAAAUAUACCCAAUUAUUUACCCGGUCUUCCAACUUCCAAUCCCGAAGCCAUGGCUUCCUCCUCCAAAGCCCUAGGCGAGCUCCUCCGCUCGCCGAAGCGUCUCCGCCCGAUCUCCCUCUCCCCGGAAUCCAUGACCCUCAAAUCCCCCCUCUCCACCCUCCACGCCCCUCCUCUCGCCGCCGGUGAACACCCCUCCGCACUCACGUCGGAGCAGGCGAAGAGGGCGAAGAGGGUCGACGCCGGCCGAUCCCUUUCCCGAUGGAAGCGGAACCUCAGUAUCUGUUCCGAAAGGAUCGUGACAAGGAAAGGUACUCAUUCCGAUCCCUAUGUGAAGCUGGGAGAGCUCUUGGUCGAGGAGACAUGGCUGGAGGCUCUCCCCGGCCAGCUUCAGAAACCCUACGCGCAGAACCUGUGCAGGUUUGUGGAGAUGGAGAUGCGCGACAGCGUCCCUAUCUACCCUCCACCCCACCUAAGAGCUUAUGCUGCUUGUUCGGUUUGGCGGUGUUCAGGAUGAUUGCUUAUGCUGCUUGUUUAUAAGGGUCUGAUCCAGUUCGGCUCUUUGACAAGAGAGUGAACGCGAAAAGAGGUCGUCCUGCUGCAAUACAAUCACAUGAGCUUUGGCGGGGCUCCUGUUGAGGUAGAGACAGAAGAAGAGGCAGAAGAGUUGAUGCUACAAAAUGAUAAGGACUCUGCAAACGGUAAUAAGCUCAAUAGGUUUUAGAAUAUAUAAACAUUUUUGGUUGGCGUCUGUUUAAGCUAAUAAAACCAUUUGGUUGUUGCAUACUUGCAUUGAUGCUUGAAUUGUAGGCCGUGGUCAUCAUUUUCAUAGUUAUUUCAGUAGGUUGAUCAUUGUGAAAACACUAUGGCUUGUGAUCUACGCCUUCGGUAAGUUGAAGAUAAAAUGUAAAUGUGAGUUUGUUACCAGAGAUAAGAGAUUUUUUGUGUCUCCAACUCCACCUGAUGACUAUGACAUUCACAUGGUGCUGAUAUGUGGAUGAUAGAAAUUCUUCUCAAUAGUGGGUUUCUGUAAGAAAAUUAUCAGUUAUUUUCAUUUGUUGACAUCAUGCUGCCAGGAAAUUGUUCAUGUUCCCUAGCCAAAACUUGAAUGUAAUUUAUAUACUCAAACUUCGGGACUACUGAUCUGCCUUGUGAAGCUUUUGGUUCUACCUUAUAUAUGGUACCAAGGUUAAUCUCUUCUAAUCAAUAUUGCUAGAAAAAAAUAGCCAUUUCUUCUCUUUCCUGAAAUGCACUAUUUUUUACUUUUAAGAAUAGAACUGACAUGGAAAAGUGUGUUUCUGCGUCUAUUAUAACAUGGGUUGAGAUAGAAGCAUACUGAAACUUCUGUAAGGGUGCAAGCAUGUGUAAUCACUACACACAGAGUUGGGAGAAAUAAUGAUUAUGUUGUUCCACAUCAUUUAUUGUCCAUCUUUUUGACUGUUUAUUGUGCAGUUAUGUAAGUUAAUGCCUGUUAAGGUCUUAGGUGAAAGUUAUCAAAGUUCAUGCUAUCUUUUCCAGCUCUUCAUUUGACUUCCUUUGAUGAAGUCAAGGCAGUCAUUAUUGGACAGGUAGACUCCUUGACCUGAAUCAUUUUGUUAUGCCUCAUUGUAUGUCCUGUUCUUUGAGUUUCUUGUUUCUUACGCAUGCUACAACUUUGACAUUUUGUGCCUCCUGAUUCCCAUUUAUUAACUAGAUGAAUAUCAAGUUUAUUCAUACUGUCAUAGUGUAUUGAUCUAGUAGCAGUGGCUUGUAGAAUGAUAUUGGUCAUUUUAUCUGAGGCCUCCAUUAUUUGGUUCCAUGUAGAAAAUCGAAAAGAACAUGAUUUAAAUUUUGGUUUCUAUGUCUUGCUUUGGUUUGAUGAGUUUGAUAGUUUAAUUAUAUUUGGUUCUUGUUUUUUUUUUGAAAAUUUUUUUUAACCAAAAAUGCCAAAAUAUAAUUUGUAAUAUAUUUUCAAGUAAAUCCUCAAAGCCUUGUCCAACCAUAAUAAUCUUGUCAAAUUUUAUGAUGCAUGUGAGGAUGCACUUAACGUCUACGUAGUCAUGGAGUAUGUCUUAAUUAACUCUAGUUAACUUAACAAUGAGUAACAACGUUUCUACAUAUGAUAUUUGUUCCAUGUCACAAGAUAGAGUUGAUAUAUCCAAAACUUUUUGCAUGUAGUAUCCUACUAAUAUGCCUCUUUGCUUUCCACUUUGUAUCCUGCACUAAGGAAAAAUGAUAAUACUUUUCCAUACAAAUUUUAAAAUGAACACUUCUAAGAUGAUGGGCAGCAAUUUUUUUUUUUAAAAUUAUGUAGUACUUCUGUUAAUUUGGAACUCAACAAUAUGUUUUUCUCUUUUCCAGAUUAUGUGAAGGUGGAGAAUUAUUAGAAAGAAUUUUAUCUAGAGGUGGAAGGUACUCAGAGGAGGAUGAAAAAGCUAUAGUUAUUCAAAUACUGAGUGUAAUCGCCUUUUGUCAUCUUCAAGGUGUUGUGCAUCGUGAUUUAAAGCCAGAGAAUUUUCUUUUCACCACUAGAGAUGAAAAUGCUCAGAUGAAGUUGAUUGAUUUUGGCCUUUCCGAUUUUGUUAAACCAGUUUACAAAUCUCAAGUACUC